AACAAAUAUCAGAAAUCAGACUACCAUUUCAAGCUAACAAAAAUUUAAAAGCAUCAAAACAUCCUGGUGAUGACGAUCAUAGCCUGUUGUACUAGAAAGAAGCUAGUGAAACAAUUAAUCAGACUGAUGAAGAGAAAUAAAGAGCUAUCAUUAUUAAGCCCUAGAUGAAGAAGCACAGAGACACAGAGAAAUCUGGGGUAUUUCAUUUCAUUUCCUUUGUAACUUUCAUAAAGAAAACCUAGAAUUUUGCAGAGAAAAAACACUCCAAGUUUUCAUUUGGAAGAAAAUGGCAUAUCGUUUCUUCAGUAUUAUCCAUGCUGCAAUCACUGAAAAGGGGGAACUAGCUCUUCCAAAGAGAUUUGUUGGGAAGUGUAGGACGGAAUUGUCUGAUGUUGCAGUUAUCACUAUUCCAAAUGGUCAGGUCUGGCGUGUACAGUUAAGGGAGGCUAAAGGUGAAAUUCUCUUCGGGAGGGGAUGGAAAGACUUCAUGGAUUAUUUUCCUCUUGGUGUUGGCCAUUUUCUGCUUCUUAGAUACGAUGGAAUUCACGUUUUCAUGUUGUUGUUUGUAAUAUGACUGCAACGGAGAUAAAAUACCCUCUUCAUUCAAGCAAUGUCGAGAUAUCCAGUCAUACAAGUGUUUUUUCAGCAUCCACAACGGAAGAAACCGACUAUGUAGAGAACUUGGAGAUUCUUUGUCCAUGCCCAAUUAGCAGAAUACCCUUACCAGCUAGCCGUUGUAUACCUUACCUGCAAAAAAAGAAAGAAAAAGCAGAGCUGAAAGAGAAACCAAUGUUUUCAAGUCUCAGUCUGGGAAUCUUACAUUCAAGAUCGUCAUGCAACCAGCCUAUGUGCGUGAAGGGAGAACUGUGGUGCAUGUACCUGUUGGGUUUAAGGUUUUUAGAGAAGUUGAUCGUGAUAUCGCCACUCUUAGAGAUUCCGAAGGGAGAACAUGGGAUGUUGGAAUUUCAACUUAUCGCGAAAAGCAUACCAAACUGGUGACCGGCUACCGUUUGGAAGUUGGCGAUGUUUGCAUUUUUGAGCUGAUUGACAGGGAUAAUCUCCAGAUAGAUGUUACUAUAAUGCGAGCUCAGGAUGUGGUUUGAUGAUGACCAGGGCCGGCCUUGGGCCAAAGUGGCCGCAGUUUAACCUUGGGGCUUGGGCAGCAAUCCCAAGGGGCCAACAAAAUAGAUACUUAAGUUCCUAGUUAAGGAUAGAAUUUGAAAUUAGAGGAAAGAAGGGUCUUUGUUUCUCUUCCUAAAACAUUUCUAUACACGUAUUUAUCUGUAGUUCAUUACCUUGGAGACUUUGGAUAAACCGUCAAAGCAAAGAUCAAAUGUUUUCAUAAUGGUGCUACAAAAACCAAUAUAAA